rnacentral:lncRNA from 1 species
GGCCAGGCCUGGGCUGACGGUAUGAUGGCAGAGCUAAGGGAAUGGAGGGUCAGUAGGAACGGUGGCGCUGGGUGGCUGCAGGUCACAGAGUGCAAUGCAAGUACGUGCAGGCCUCCACGUUAUCCUUCCACCAUGGGACCCCCCGAUCAGCAGCUGGUGAGGUUUUGGCCCCAAAUUACAACAUGUGGUUGAAGGUAUCACAUUGAGACAGUGAGACAAACCAUUCAAAAUCAGGGCUGCCCUGGAAAAUCCAGUACGUCUUGUGGUGUUUGGGUUGGGGUGUGCGGUUGGGUCAAACUUCGUUUUUGAGCUUCAGUUAACCACAGGUGGCUGGGGCCCAGGAAGGAGGUGGCUCUUGCAAAGAACUAGGGGCCGCCCUCGUGAGAGGCACCCUCCUCCGAGCAGCCAACUGCUUCUCAGUUCCUGCAGUGAGCUCCCGCAGAUCGAGGGAGAAAGCUCUUGUCAGCUCAUGAACUGCUCAGCUGUUCCUCCCAUUUUGCAGAUGAAGAAAUAGAGGCCUUUGGAAAGUUAGAGGGCCCUUUCCAAAACCAUAGAGCAAAUGAGGAAGCUAACCCCAGGGAGUCCACACGUUCCUGUCACCACUCGGCAGCCUCUCCACAGAUGAUUACUGGAGGACCGAAUGGAUGAGUGGAUGACUGAUUGACAACCAAGUGACCAGUCACCACGCCGGGCACUCUCAGAAAGCCUGAACGUUUUGUUUGCUUCCAGUUUAGGGUUAGGCUUAGGUCCUGAUCUCGAGGUUGUGAGACCGAGCCCUGUGUUGGCCUCUGUGCUGGAUGUGGAGCCUGCUUGGGAUCCUCCACCCUCCCUCUGCUCCUUCCCCCCUAAGAAGAAAAAAAAAAAAAAGAAAAAGAAAAAGAGAGAAAAAAAGCCUCAAGAGGCUGGGAAAAAAAAUCACUCGCGAUCUCAUCAUGAAAAGGGUUCAACACAGCGUGUUGGCAGAUUUUCUUCAGGACGCUGGUGUCUCUUGGGGACAGAAGGAGAAUUUCAAGGGCCUUGGCCUCAGGUAACCCUCCAGGGCCUGAGUCUCCACUGUCCCUUGCAGCCAUCUCUUGGAUCCACAGAGGAGCCAUUCCCACAUCUUUGUCCCCUCCCUGGCCCAAGGGCUUUCCGGAGACUGUGGGGAGCUCUGGCUGGGCUUGAUGGCGAUGGCAGGCUUCUGGGCUUGGGUGUCCCCCCUGCAGCCUGGGGGCCAAGCAGUCCUAGUCAGCAUAUAGGUGUUUGGGGCUCUGUUCGUCUCUUGCCCUAUUGUCCAUUCUUGACUUUGCCCGAGGCCCUGUCUGGGCCAGGCCUUGACACUUCCAAACCCCCGAAUCAGCCACCAGCAUAUGGCUAAAGUGAGAUGGAACAAUGGAAAGAGGUUUGGUCUGCAGGCUCCAUGUACACAGCUGGACUUCCCAGGAGGAGUCUCAGGCCACAUCCAUGUGGGAGUCAGUGAUGUGGUUGAUUAAUUAUGUCUGCCCUGGGCCUGGCGUGGGAAUAUGGGAUGGAAGCCCUUCCUGUCAUUCCAAACAUGUGAGGGUCUAGGCCUUCAAUGAGCAUGAUGGGAAAGGUGGGUUAAAUUCAGAGUCCAGGGCACCUGGGUGGCUCAGUGGUUGAGCGUCUGCUUUGGCUCAGGUCAUGAUCUCAGAGUUCCAGGAUCAAGUCCCGCAUUGGGCUCCCCACAGGGAGCCUGCUUCUCCCUCUGCCUUUGUCUCUGCCUCUCUCUCUGUGUCUCUCAUGAAUGAAUAAAUAAAAUCUAUAAGAAAAAUUCAGAGUCCAGUGGUAUAUGCUAACGUGAGCAGUAUUAUUGGAAUUCCCAUGAGGGAAGACUCAAAUCAGGCUGGAAGCUCCUGAGAGGAAGCCAGACAAUGGCCGGGCAGGGAGGGGACGAGAGCAGGCUCCAGACUAGGGAAAGAAUUUGACAAAAGCACCAUCAUGGCUUGUCCAGGGGAAUGCGGACAGACCCGCCUCUCAAAAUAAUUAUAGAACCUCAGAGAACGCGCAGCCAGAACUUAACGGGUAGGUUCAAUCGUAUCUAGAUCAGAGGAAAAAUGCAUUUAAGCUUUUUUAAAGCGGUGACUGCUAUUUUUAAACUAGUGAAAUGUUUAAAAACACAGAGAGGAGGGAAAAGGCCCAAAGAAUAAUAUAAGAAAAAGUUCCUCUUCAUUGUUUGCAUUUUGUCAUAUUUGUCUCCAGUCUCAUUUUAUUUUUAUUUUUAUUUUUUUUCAUUUUAUUUUUAAAAGUAUAAAACAUGACAUGUGAGGCUUUGGCCCCUCAAACCAUCACCCCAUCCGAUUCCCCAGAUGCAAGAACCAUGGCUAUCAGAAAUGCAAAGAGCAUUUCUUUUUUUAUUAUUAUUUUUUUAAAGAUUCCAUCCAUUUAUUCAUGAGGCAUCCUCAAAGACCAUUUCUAGGAUAUGUUAAGUAUUUCUACAUAUCCCCCUAUGCACACUGAGACAUUUCUCAAUGACUUUUCAUGCCUUUAGUUUUCAAGAGUCAGGGUAAUUUUCUGUUUGCAAUCAGCACAGACUGGAGCCUGCCCUGGCCAAGCACUUCCCCUUGAACACCGUGGAAAUGCUCCUUCCGUCGACCCCCUGGUUGCCCACCCCUUCCUGGGCAGCUACCCAUUCUUGUAGGUUGAACACUUCCAUUUGGCAUGUGUUGACAUAAUUCAGGAGAAUUCUCGCCAGACUUUCUCUGUGUCUGUCAUACCAUACAACACAGAGCUAGGCUUGACCCGGAAGGUUGGUGCUCAGAGAUUGCCAACCAAGUGUGUAAAACCCUUCCAUGGGAUUUCCUAUGCCACAUGUGGGACACUGAUAACUCACUCCCUUUUCCUAUGUUGUAGAAGGCAUUCUCAACUUGGGGUCUUACAGACCUCAGAGAGUUUGUCACUAGGACCAUAUUUAAAAUAAUUGGAUUCUUUUGUAACCUUACAUGUUUUAUUUUAUUUCUAUAAAAACAUUAUUCUGAGAAGGGGUCCACAAGCUUAAUUAGCCUGCCAAAAGGGUCCUGGCACCCAAAAAAAGAGGCUAGAAAUCCCUGUUUAGCUGGGCAUGUUGCUGCCUACAAUGAGAUGACACUUCCUAGUUCGUUCUGACAAACAUUGUGUUAUAGAAAUGGUGUUUGCCAUUUCUUCAAAGAGCCCUUAAGAAGAGGAAAUCUGUCCUUCUUUCUCUCUUCCUUCUUCCUGAUUCCAGAUUGCAGACAUAAUGGCUGGAGCUGCAGUAGUUAUGUUGGGCCUUGGGGAUGGAAGCCACAGAUGGCAGCACAACAGGAUAGAAGACCCUGACAACGUAGAGGGCUUCAUAGCCCCAGACCAACUAUCUCCAGGCUGUGUCAUAUGAGAAGGAAGUAAG